rnacentral:rRNA from 1 species
UAGGACUCUCGGCAAUGGAUAUCUUGGCUCUCGCAUCGAUGAAGAGCGCAGCGAAAUGCGAUACGUGGUGCGAAUUGCAGAAUCCCGUGAACCAUCGAGUUUUUGAACGCAAGUUGCGCCUGAGGCCAACUGGCCAAGGGCACGUCCGCCUGGGCGUCAAGC